GGCGGCAUAGCCAAGUGGUAAGGCAGAGGUCUGCAAAACCUCCAACCCCGGUUCAAAUCCGGGUGCCGCCU
rnacentral:tRNA from 1 species